rnacentral:tRNA from 1 species
UCCUGAUUGCCUAAUUUGGUAGAGCGCUCCACUGGAAAUGGAGAGGUCCCUGGUUCGAUACCACGACCAGGCG